AGUGAACGCUGGCGGUAGGCCUAACACAUGCAAGUCGAACGGCAGCACGGUAAGAGCUUGCUCUUACGGGUGGCGAGUGGCGGACGGGUGAGGAAUACAUCGGAAUCUACUUUUUCGUGGGGGAUAACGUCGGGAAACUUACGCUAAUACCGCAUACGACCUACGGGUGAAAGCAGGGGAUCUUCGGAACUUGCGCGGUUGAAUGAGCCGAUGUCGGAUUAGCUAGUUGGCGGGGUAAAGGCCCACCACGGCGACGAUCCGUAGCUGGUCUGCGAGGAUGAUCAGCUACACCAGAACGGAGACGCGGUCCAGACUCCUACGGGAGGCAGCGGAGGGGAGUAGUGGACAAGGGGCGGAAGCCUGAUCCAGCCAUACCGCGUGGGUGAAGAAGGCCUGCGGGUUGUAAAUCCCUUUUGUUGUGAAAGAAAAGCAGCAUGUUAAUACCCCGCUGUACUGACGGUACCCAAAGAAUAAGCACCGGCUAACUUCGUG
rnacentral:rRNA from 1 species